UUUAACAUAUGGUUGUUUUUUUUAUUUGUUUUGUUUUGUUUCUGGACACAUGUCGUUAUCCAAGGGGCCUUUAGUUUUAAUUUGAAAAUUAAGAAGAGAAGAAUGGUUAGAGGGGGCGGCGAACAUCCUCAUGCAAGUUCCCUCCUUGCUUUUUAUUUUAUUAUUUAUUUAUUUACUUAUUUAUUUUUAUUAUCAUUAUUUAUUUCUUAAUUGUUAAAGGUUAGUUUUCUGCUUGGGCCUUAAGGCCCACUUGAUAUUCACAUCCCUAUUUUCCAAGAUACACCUCUUAUUUUUAAUUUCCCUUUAAUAUCAUUAGUCUUUAAUAUAACUAAUUUUUUUAGACAAUCUAAAUGUUUAAUUUAGUCAUUAUAAUUCAUCCUUUAUAUUAAUCUUUUAUCUUAGGUCAUAACUAAUUUAGUGAUUGUUUAGCUAAUUUAUAAAAAAAUAGUAAAAAUACAAGAAAUAUGUUUCAGGUUCAAAAACACAGAAUAUGUUCAUUUCAUUUCAUUAAGCAAAAAUACCAAAAAUACCGAAUUUUAGUUUUAAUCAAUUAAAUUAGUGUAAUUAGAUUAGUCUUUUAGUGAAAAAAUAAAAAUAAUAAUUAUGUAUAUAUGACCAUCAAAAAUA
rnacentral:lncRNA from 1 species